rnacentral:lncRNA from 1 species
AUGGAUUAUGACCCCCAGAGAGCAGGUGCACGUCCACGGAGGGCUGUGCGACCACCAGGAUCGAUGACUCAGUAUGGCUACACACUGCCACCCACUGCUACAUUGGAGCAGCAGCAGACUAGAGAGGGAUACGCCAAGAUGACGCCCCUCACCCAGACUCCUGGUUCUAUUGGAGCUGCAGGACGGACACCAGUGGCAUCCAGCAUUCCACCGGAGUUCAUGAACAUUGUGCAGCAACUGCAGGAGGACAACAGGCAACUUCAGCUGAUGGUAGGAGACAUGAGGAGACAGAUGGAUCGCAAUGUCACCACGUUGGAAUCCACCCGCUUAUGUUCUGCCCAGCAGCCAGGGGGCUACAUUUCAGCUGAUGACACUUGGGUCUCCACACCUCUAACCCCACAGCCUUUCCCCCUGAGACCAGAGCAGCACAAUAUAUCCUCCACACAGGAUGCAGCUGAAGAAUGGCCAGUACCACCACCUCCAGUUUUUCUCCCGAGAGAUCAUCCUGAUCUACCAGAGGUACAGUCUGUUCCACCUCCACCGCUACCAGCCAUUGCACAAGAGCUUAGCCAACGGUUACAAGAGCUACAGUUGCAACAACCCUCAGCCACUGAAGCUCCUGACUUCCAGCCUCGUGCACCACAGUCCACCCCCUUAUCUCGAUCACUAGCUGGACCUAGUUUCGACUCGAACAUGCUCCCCCCAGAACAAGUGUUGGCUCCAACUACAGCCAUAGCUGGAAAGGAGAAGAGCUACAGAGGGCCAUCGCCCUCCAUCCCAGAGUUCACAAAGGGUGAUCCCAGGCAGUUUGCUAGAUUAAGGCUUGCCCUAGACAAUCUCCCCUUUGAUGCAACCGAGAGGUUCAAAUAUCAGGUCCUAUGUGACCACCUUAAAUUUGAGGAAGCUCUUUUAAUUGCUGACUCCUACAGUAACUCACCCCGCCCCUACUCUGACACGAUGGCCUCGCUCACUAAACAUUAUGGUCAGCCGCACCAACUGUCGCUGCAGAGAAUAGCAGAGCUUAUGGAUGAGCCCAGCAUCCGCCCGGGUGACACGACUGGAUUCAGAAGGUUUGCACUGAGAGUCCGUGCUCUGGUCGGCAUGUUAGAGCAACUUGGGGAAGAUGGACACAUAGAACUGCAAUGCGGGUCCCAUGUUGCUAGACUGACACGAAAGCUACCCCAAGACCUACGUGCUGCUUUCCGCCGCUACCUUUACCCACAGAAAGAUGGAAUACCAUCAUUGAGAGACUUUGCAGAGUGGCUGGAGUAUGAGCUGGUCAUUCAAGAGGGUGGAGAUCACACAGAGAAGGUAGAGGAGAGCUCGAGAGACAGGAGCAGCAUGAAAAGAGAUAAAAGAGCCACCAAAAGGACUACCACCGUGCUGCAUGGUGCAACACACAACACUGCCCCUCAAAGGCCCUCAGCCACAACCCCUUCCACUUCUGAGGUCCAAGACAAGCCCACAGCUUAUUGUCCAUAUUGUAAUAACACUCUGCACUUCUUAGAUCAAUGUGUCAACUUCAAGAUGCUGACUAAGGAGCAGAAAUCAACUUGGAUUAAGUCCAACAAUCGCUGCUGGCGUUGUGGGCGGCACCACCAGGCCGCUCAGUGUCGACUUAAAGUGCAGUGCAAGACAUGCAGGGGAAAACACCUUGAGGCCCUGCAUGAAGUGAACCUCAGACCUGCUGCACCCAAUCCACCAAUGGAACACGUCGCUGAGCUGGGGAGUAAAGCAUCUACUGAGGUACUUUAUCUAGACCGGCGUGCUGGCUGUAGCCAAGUGCUUCUGAAGAUAACCAAAGUGCUGCUGCAGAACGGUGAGCACACCUUGGAGACAUUCGCCAUAUUGGAUGAUGGAUCUGAGAGGACGAUCCUUCUCCCUGAGGCCACUCAAAGACUGCAGCUACAGGGCACGGCAGAGAGUCUUACUCUACGUACGGUGAGACAAGGAUUGAGAACCUUGCAUGGCGCAUCAGUGACAGUCAAAGUCUCCCCUGCCAGCCAACCAUCCAGAACAUUCACCAUUGAGAGAGCCUUCACAGCCGAUGAUCUAGGCUUGGCUGAGCAUUCAUACCCUGUGAAAGCACUUCAACAGAAAUAUAGACACUUAAGAAGGCUUCCCUUGCAGCCCUUCACAAAUGCCCAGCCACUCCUUCUGAUCGGUUCUGACUGUCCUCACCUAGUGACGCCCAUCAAACCUGUGCGCCUAGGCUCACCUGGAGGACCAGCUGCAGUCAAGACUAGACUCGGUUGGGUACUACAGGGACCAAUCCCCUCCCUUAAGCACUCCGCUCAACCGCAACAGUGCCUCUUCCUCUCAACGACCUCUCCUCAAUCAGAGCUUCAUAGUCAAGUAGAGAGGCUUUGGCAACUUGACACUCUCCCAUAUCGAAGUGAGAAACUAGUGACACGGUCUCGGAGGGAAGAGCAAGCUUUGAGGCUUUUGGAGGCAAAGACGAUAAGACUGAAAGUCGAGGGAGUAAACAGAUAUUCAACUCCUCUUCUGCGUGUCAGUGAUAUGCCUGCACUCCGGGUGCCACCUGAAGCAGUACUCCCCAAUCUACGUGGCAUGGAGAAGCGCCUCAGUCGAGACCCGGAGAAGGCUAAAGCUUAUCAAGCGGAGAUGACAAAGUUGAUAGCAGCAGGCUAUGUCAGGGAAAUCAGUGAAGAGGAAAUGAGGGCCACCAAAGAAUCAUGGUUCAUCCCCCACCACAUGGUGACACACAACGGAAAGAACCGUGUGGUGUUUAAUUGCUCAUUCACCUAUAGGGAUCAGAACCUCAACGAGCUGCUGUUACCAGGCCCGAACCUGGGGGCCUCUCUUCUUGGUGUGCUGCUACGCUUCAGAGAACGCUCCAUCGCGGUUAGCAGUGACAUCAAGGGGAUGUUCCACCAAGUGAGACUACUGCCUGAGGACCGGCCGCUACUACGUUUCAUUUGGCGCGAUCUGCAAAGAGACACCCAUCCCAAGGUGUAUGAAUGGCAGGUGCUCCCCUUCGGGACAACAUGCUCACCAUGCUGUGCAAUUUAUGCACUCCAGCGACACGUCCAUGACCACAGUGACCAGGGAGAUGACGUGCGUGACUCCAUUGAGAAGCAUUUUUAUGUUGACAACUGGUUACAGAGCUUCUCUUCUCCAGAUGUGGCCACAGAGGUUGUGGACAAACUACGGUCACUAUUAUCGGAGGGAGGAUUUGAGCUCAGACAGUGGGCCAGCAGCACCCCAGAUCUCAUCAGCCAUCUACCACAGGAGAUAAGAUCGGAGAGCAGCGUACAGUGGCUGAAUCGAACCGACAUGGACCCUCAAGAACCUGCUCUAGGUCUGCGCUGGAUGUGCUGCUCUGACACUCUGCACUACAAGUCCAGGCAGUUGGAGAGUAAUCCUCCUACCAUGAGGAACAUCUACCGGGUUCUGGCGAGUCAGUAUGACCCACUAGGGUUUCUCGUCCCCUUCACAACGAGAACAAAGGUACUAGUCCAGCAGUUGUGGGACAAAAAGCGUGAGUGGGAUGACCCCCUGUUACCAAGUGACCUGCUCUCUGCAUGGAACGAAUGGGAAGGUGAGCUGCAGCAUCUGGACAACAUUAGUCUACAACGUUGUUAUGUAAGCCCGGAGCUGGACAAAUCCGACAGUAGGCGUGAGUUGCACAUCUUCUGCGAUGCAUCUCAACAGGCAUAUGGAAGUGUUGCCUACCUACGGACGGAAGAUGCUGCUGGAAAGGUGGAAGUUGCUUUCCUGACUGCCCGCUCUAGGGUGGCCCCUAAACGGCAGAUGUCCAUGCCACGUCUGGAACUAUGUGCAGCCUUGACUGGAGCUCAACUCGCUAGCCUGCUGACCAAAGAGCUCACCCUACCACUAUGCAGAGUGGUGUUAUGGACAGACUCCACCACUGUCCUAACAUGGAUCCAGUCCGAGUCCUGUCAUUUCAAGGUGUUCGUGGGAACUCGAAUAGCUGAGAUCCAGGAACUGACAGACAGCCAGUCUUGGCGUUAUGUGACAACAUAUGACAAUCCGGCAGAUGAUCUAACUAGGGGUAAGAAGCUACAAGACCUCACAGUCCAGUCCCGGUGGGCAUGUGGGCCCCCGUUUCUGCAGCUACAUCGAGACCAGUGGCCAGAGCACCCAGCCACACCAUGUACAGACUUUGGUGAGGAGCAGCGUAAACCAAUAACUUGCCUAGCUGUGUCUACUGACUCUAUCUCCCUGCCUGAUGCACAGCAGUUUACCAGUUUUAGCAAGCUAUUGGAAGAAACAGCCAGGUGCCUUCACGGGGCGGCUGGUGACAACCUCACAUCAGAGAACUACAAGGAGGCUGAGCUUAUUCUGCUGAGAGCUGCUCAGAAAAACAGUUUCCCAGAUGAGAUCCAGUGCCUGACCACUGGGAAACCAGUUCACUCAUCUAGCCGUCUGUUUGCCUGGCCCCAGAAUUCGAUGAAUCGCUUCAACUCAUAA